UGCCAGUGUUAUUUUAGUAUUAUUGAGAUACUGCAUUUUUUUUUCCCAUUUUCAUUUUAUGCAUAAAAGUCACAAUUUAUUUGACAUAAAACUGCAUUAUUCUCAAAGCAUAAAAUCCUUGGAUUCUCCAUCACAGCCAUUACACACAGUUUUCUAUGUAUUAGUUUAGCAGAAAUGAGCUGUUUUCAGUGUAAUUGGAGGAAUGUUAAAUUACAGUAUCUUCUCAAGGACGAGAUGCAGAUGUUGAGUUUUGCAUGUUUUUCUUGCAUUUCAGAAUUUAGUUCGUCCUCUGGCCUGUCAGAUUCUGCUUUCCAAUUAAGUUUUAGCCAAAAACUGACAGACAAAUCUAAUUAAUAAUGCACUGAUAUUUGAAGCCAGUAAUCAGAGUAUAGAGUGUUCUUUGCUGUUAACUCAUGAAUUAACUGGAUAAAUGCAUUAACAGUGAAAGAUAACUCUUUUUAUAAAACUUGAUAAGUAUUUUGGGCUUUAAUAUUUUAGUUCAGCCGCUUGAAUGUGUCAUCGGUCAGGACAGAAAUCAGAUCGGAUUCCUGUGGAUUUUGGACUAAGAACUUUUUCAUUUGGUCUGAUCCUUACUUUACAUGUUAAUCGAGCCAUUUUUAAAACAUCCUUUGCUCAAAGUAAGAGGGCCUGCAUCUCGAUUUUUGUCUGUUAAUGACAGAAAGAUUGAUUUUAUAGGAAGCUUUCAACAUAUACUUGCAUCAGCCAUUUGACGUAUGACUUAAAAACACUGAAGUAUUAAAACACACAGCUGAGGAUUUAAAGAGAAUUGCAAAAAUAAAAAGUCCAGAUGCACUAGGCUAAAUUGAGAUAUAAUGUAGUGUUUACUUAAAUUCAAAUGCUCUCGAAAGCAGGAAUUACAUUUUUUUUUUUUAUCGAUUUUAGGGUGAAAUGUGUCAUUAUAAAAUAUAUCAAAAUACAUUUUUGUGACUAUGUAUUGAGGCAUAUAGUGAGUCUGCUAAAAAUAUUUUUAUUUAGGCUACCAGUGCUGAUGAUAGAGUAACAAAAAAGACAAAAAACUUGAUCAGAAUAUAAUUUAAGAUCAGUUUACAAUCAUAUUUACAGACAUAAGUUACAUUAAGACAGAUAAAGUAAUAGAAAUCACGCUAGGCAUUGCAUUUUCUACAGGCAGGAAUGUUUUAGCAUCCCAUGAUGGAGCACAAAGCACGUAUGCAAGCCCAAGCACGACUGCUAAACAUGCGAGCGCUGCAGAUGACGCGAGGAGCGUUGAUCGCAUUAAUCAGAAACCUUGUAUAAUCAGAGGCUGAUUGAACACGUUUUCUUUCAAAAAAACUUUCAAAUCGUCUGUUUGGCUUUUAUUGUCUUCCUGAUUGUAAAUGUUUAUCAGAUUUAUCACAUCAUGCAAAGGAUCUGACAUCUUCUAUAUUUCCAAAACACUCUGAAUUAAAUGCAUUGACAUGUAAUUCAUUUUACCAUGUGUUAUACCGCGCUAAUCAGGCGAUCUGCAUCUGGGUCUAAAAUAAGCAAAUUCAGUCUUUAAUGAUAAAAACGAACUUCACAGAAGCAACAGAAGCUGGAUGAUGCAUUCAUCUUGUGCCACCGAUUCAGAAAAUAACUGGUUAAAUACUUUUGAUAUUUUUUUUAACAAAAUAUCACUACCAUAACAUUUCCUAUGAAUCACUCUGAGUCCCAUGUAAACAUCAUGGUACUGCCACAGCAUAAGCUGCAUUUCGCGAAAUCAUAUAUUUAUUAUUUUUAAUAUAUAUUAUUUAAAUAUUUUUAUUUGAUGUUACUGUUUAAUGUUUGACACAUUUUCCCCUCAAAAAAUUUAAAGUAAAAAUUAUAUUUAAUUAGUUGAUUUUAUAAAAAGUGUGGGGAAAAUACAGUAAUAAUUAUAUAUAUAUAUAUAUAUAUAUACACACACACACACAAAUGAUAUAAAUAUGUAUAAUUUAAUAUAAUUAAUAAAAUACUAUUAAUUAAUAAAUAAUUAUUUUAUUAUAUAAUGUUUGUCAAUAUUUAAAUUUAUAAUCAAUUAAUAUAAAGUAUAAUAUAAAACAAACAAAACAGUAAAUAUACAUAAUUAGGCCUAUAUAUAUUUGGACACUGACACAAUUUUUAUAAUUUUGGCUCUGUAUUCCACCAGAAUAGAAUUAAAAUGAAACAAUCAAGACGGAAUUGUAGUGAAUGAAUGAAAUAUUUCAAAGAAUAAUGGAAAUUAUGGAAAUAAUGAAAAAUGAAGGGGAAAUGUGCUAAACUGUCACGAGAGUACAAUUUUAUUUAUUUACUUGUAUUUUAAUUUUGAAGUUUUGAUUGAGGAUCUUUCUCAGACCUAAAACAUGAGUUUUUAUAUUCUUAUAUAUAUAUAUAUAUAGUAUCACCCAUCUGGCCAGUAAUAGAGGGUCAUUUAAUAUCAGUGUUCAUAAAGUCAUGUUCUAGUUUGACCCUCGUCCAGACUAGAUUAUGAAAAGCAUCUUCCGCCGCUGGUUUGAAGCUCAGAUUGCUGUCUGCAUCGCUCUGAAGCGCUGAAUGGACGUGUGAUGAUGCAGAUCUCGGUCGGGGGGCUUCAGACGGGCGGCUCCUCGCUGAUGGUGGGCAGGCUGGGAGUGACGGGCGAGUUCUGAGCCUCUCUGUGGACGCUGAUGCUGGAGAUGGACCAGACGUCGCUCAGCUCUGCCGAGAGUAAUGAGAGUGAUGGAGGGUCAGGAGAACAUGCAGGAGGAGCUCGGGUCAAAGAACAGAGGGACCUCAGAUGCAUCACACCACAAACAUCACGGCCUUCUGGCAUCUGACUACUGAUUCCCAUACUUCACCUUUGCCCAGGGGAAUUAGGUCAGGAAUAUUCAAACCCUUCUGACCAUAGAGAUUUUAAGUCUAUAAUGUCUAUAAAGUCAUGUAUGUAUUUCUAUAAGUUAAAUCACAGAUUUGCAUGUUAAUGGUUUUCUGAUGCUGGUUAAUGGAGGGCUGGUCAUUACACUUACAUGUUGCUCUUUUGUAAGUUUUCAUUGCUUCUUUUGUCCUCAUUUGUAAGUCGCUUUGGAUAAAAGCGUCUGCUAAAUGACUAAAUGUAAAGGUCACAUGACAUGCAGGUAAACAAAAUUAAUUUCAGUCUUUAUUUUGAUUAUUUUCAUUUUAAAACUAUUUAUUUUUAAUUUCACAUUUUCAUGAGUAAAUAGAGAGAGGGGGGGGGGGUAUAUUUGUAGCAAUAGCCAAAAAAAUACAUAGUAUGGUUCAAAAUUAUACAUUUUUCUUUUAUGCCAAAAAUCAUUAGGAUAUUAAGUAAAGAUCAUGUUCCAUGAAGAUAUUUUGUAAGUUUCCUACCGUAAAUAUAUCAUACAUUAAUUUUUGAUUAGUAAUAUGCAUUGCUAAGUUCUUCAUUUGAACAACUUUAAAGAUGAUUUUCUCAAUAUUUAGAUUUUUUUGCUCCCUCAGAUUCCAGAUUUUCAAAUAGUUGUAUCUCAGACAAAUAUUGUCCUCCUAAAAAACCAUACAUCAAUGGAGAGAUUAUUUAUUCAGCUUUCAGAUGAUGCAAAUAUCUAAAAUUUGAAAAAUGUACCCUUAUGACAUGGUUUUGUGGUCCAGGGUCACGCACACACACACACACACACACACACACACACACACACACACACACACACACACACACACAUAUAUAUACAUAUAUAUAUAUAUAUGUGUGUGUGUGUGUGUACUUUACAUCAUUUAAUACAUAAUACAGAAUUUCAUCAACAUAUAUAAUGUGCCAUAACACACAAAAAUUGCUUACUGUGUUCAGAACACAAAAGUAUUU
ensembl:lncRNA